rnacentral:rRNA from 1 species
AAAAUAUCCUGAACAUGCCCGGUCUCAUCUGAUCUCAAAAGCUUAGCAGGGUCAGUCCUGGUUAGUACUUGGAUGGGAGAAAAUGUUAGCC